rnacentral:rRNA from 1 species
GGAAGUAAAGUCGUAACAAGGUUUCCGUAGGUGAACCUGCGGAAGGAUCAUUACCAUCCUGGCCUACCCGGCCCGUCGCCCACCGCAAGGUGGGGUCGUAACCCUCUGUCUAUGUGUACCUUUUGUUGUUUCCUCGGCGGGCUUGCCCGCCGCCAGGAAUACCCCAAACCCCUGUAUCCCAAAGUAUCAUAAAACUCCGAUAACCACUUAAUUAUCACAACUUUCAACAAUGGAUCUCUUGGUUCUGGCAUCGAUGAAGAACGCAGCGAAAUGCGAAAAGUAGUGUGAAUUGCAGAAUUCCGUGAAUCAUCGAAUCUUUGAACGCACAUUGCGCCCCUCGGUAUUCCGUGGGGCAUGCCUGUUCGAGCGUCAUUUACCCCCUCAAGCCUUGCUUGGUGUUGGGCGUCUGUCCCGCCUCCGCGCGUGGACUCGCCCCAAAGUCAUUGGCAGCGGUCGUGCCAGCUUCUCGUGCAGCACAUUGCGCUUCUUGAAGCCCCGGUGGAUCAGCGUCCAGCAAGCCCCUUCAUAAAUUUGACCUCGGAUCAGGUAGGGAUACCCGCUGAACUUAAGCAUAUCAAUAAGCGGAGGA